GGGGUUUUGCCAUGUUGGCCGGGCUGGUCUCAACUCCUGGCCUCAAGUGAUCCUCCCACUUUAGUCUCCUAAGGUGUUAGGAUUACUGGAGUGAGCUAUCGUGUCUAG